GCUUCAAGAAGAGAAAGGGGAAAUAGAAAUAGAAACAAAAAGAGAAAGACAGCACGCAUGAUUUUGGUUGGAUCAUGAGAAACAUAUUUCUUUGCUAGCAAAAGUCGGUCACUGAGAGGGGAAAAUCUAGGAUGCAUCUGUCCAAUCAGAUAUUCAAAACAAAGAAGGUGUAAUGAUGGAGCAGUUACUCAAACAUCAAAGCCAAGUGCAAGGAGCUUUGCAAAUUGCUAAAAGAGCUGGAUUUCGAGGAUCAGUCCGGAGAGUUGCCAAUGGUUACGAGAUUGUAAUGGGAUUGCUUCUAUUUACUUCAGUUGCUUUACUAUCAUGCUUUAGUCCACCGUAAUCUGAAUUCCAAACCCGGAUGUUGUUUAACCAACAAUUCAGCGGAGAUCUCCUAAUUGUUUGUAUUCUUUGUGGAUAUAUAGCUGAGAUCUCAUUCUUCUCUAAACAAAGGACUAAAUUUGCAAGCUUGAAAAAUUCUUCAAUACUGACAUUGUUUGCUUACAUUGUAAAUAAUUAUGUAGUGCUGGUUGCAGCAUUUUUGGGGAGUUAAUAGUCAUAUUGGCUAAUUGCACCA